rnacentral:sRNA from 1 species
CUCCCAUCCAAGUACUAACCAGGCCUGACCCUGCUUAGCUUCCAAGAUCAGACAAGAUCGGGCACGUUCAGGGUGGUAUGGCCGUAGAC